AAAAAGAGCAUCCUUUACGUCAACUGUCAUUUUAAUGACAUUGACAGGACAGUAUCCACUCAUUCAUUCGCUGAUUUUGCUCGCUCAUUCAAUCAAUCAUUCAUUCACUCAAUUCUUUUCGAAAUUCCGAGAAAAAAAUCUUGAUUCCGAAAUAUUCGGAAAUAAAAGCAAACAAAUAAUGGUCAUUUUACCGUAUUUACAUUGUUUACCGUAUAAACAAGAUGGUUUCUUAUUAUCACCAAAUGCAUCGUGACUGGUUGCUCGUCCACCAAGUCCAGGGUUUUUUCUCUAGCACGUGAUGAAGCAUUGCAGGCUCUAAGGAUACAGUACCUCCUGCCUGCAAAUCCUUUAUCAGGAACUAUGACAAAGGAGCAACUUCGUCAAAGAAAGGUCUGCCAAUCACAUUUUGAGGAUAAAUAAAUCUAAAACAAUCCAUUGGUUAUGACAAUGAUGAAUGGAUGUCCUAUUUUUUAUUUAUCCAUGAAGAAAAUAAUAACAUCUCGGCGACCAUCCAAGCUGUUGCUGAUCAGGUCAUCCAGUAAGUUAAACUGCUAAUAGAGAUAACUUCAAUUCAAUGUUGUUGCCAGAUAAUGCUGUGAGUGAAGGUAUGUUCAACUCAGUUGUAAAUAAUACCUAAGUACUUUUAAAUUGAUGAGUCACCUACGAUAUUCUUUAAACAUAAUUUAUAAUUUCAAUACGUAAUUUAAACUGAUUUUUCGUGAUAGUAAUUUUUCUUUUGUAAUGUUUUGUAAGCAAUACCUAUAUUAAUUCUGCAAAGAAAACUCUUUCUUGAGUUAUUUAAAUUAUAUUGUUUUGUAUGAUAAUUAAUUGUACAUUAAGUUUUACAGGAUUUUGCCAAUAUAUUUAUAUUUAGUAGAGGUUGCAGUAUUCUAUCUUAUAAAACUAUCUUUUUAAAUUAAUUUUACAUAGUUAUAACACAGGUUAUACCAUCAUACUUAAUUAAUUUUAUAGGUUUAUUUUAUGCUAAUUUUUUAAUUGUGUAAUAAAUUUUAAUUAUGUUUUAUUAAAUAUUUCAGAAACUAUAUCCUGCCAUCUACAUCACAGCCACAUCUGUCAUUAUGGAUAAUAUUAUUGCUGCGUCCUAAGGUUCAGCUUGCAAAUAAACCCAUCAAGCAGAGGCGGUACACACAAACAAAAGGUGGACUCUUUGGUUUUUUUAAAACGGAGCCCGAAAGCGUAUGAGCUAUUGCGCCACAUAUUUAUUUUGCCUGGUCAACGAUCAAGAAAAUGAAGGUAUUGAGUGAAAAAACUGCCGCAAUGAUACAGCCCCAAAUUCUGUAGGUUUGACAAACGCUCAAUAAUAUCAUUUAAAUGUAAAUUAUGUACAGACGAGUUCAUAAAUAUAAGUGCAGUGCCAAUUUAAAAAAAUAUUGUAAGCGUUUUAACGAUCAUACAAAUCUAAAACAAAUUCAGACAAAUGUAAUCAUAAGCUGUUCAUAAAUAUGUUGCGGUAACGCAGUAUUGACUACGCUACUGCUCUAUAAUCUGUUGAUAAUGUGCAUGUGCAUAUACCUUAAGUUGUAAAGGCAUUAAAGGUUUAUUUUCGUGCGCCAUAAUGACUGUGAUUUCAUGGAUAAGUCCACGCAUGCUGUUUUUGAUAAUAUUAAAUUAUGAAAUAAAUAAAAAAAAUCUGCUCUUUACGUAAAUCGAUUAACUUACUAAUAAUUCUGAGUCGCUCAUAAAAAAUGGCAACACCUUAAAGAGUCACCCAGUAUGUAGUAGUAUUAUCCUUAAUAAUAUUGUAAAUGUUACACCAAAUUGAAUCUGGUUUAACCCUUAAAUGCAUAGUGUUGCCAUAUGUCUACGAACUACUUUUUUAAUUAUAAAAAGUAACACAUUUUAUAAGCGUUUCUGAACGUAUGCUAAUAUCAUAGAAAACAUCAUAAUAAAAAUAAAAAAAACGCAAAUGAAGGUAGAUUUGAAAAAAAAUUAACCGAUAUUUGACGUAGCGAUUGCGAAAGAGAA